UGUUACAAAAAAGAAACUUUAUGCAACAGUAUGCAAAGAGCCAAAUGAUGAGGACAGCACAGAUCUAAGGAAAUAGUAACUGACACGGUUCAUUGCUCUCUACAAAUGCAUCAGCUAAAGGUGUAUCACCAAGAUGGCAGCACCACACAGGUUUGUUUUAUUCAUGUCACAUAGUUAAGCCCUCAUUUAUUUGUAUUUAUUUCUUUAUAUCUGUUGUUCUUUUUGAUGCUUAGAAAUGACAUUCAAUGCAACACAGGUUUGACAAAUUUUUAUUGUCUUUCAAACUAGCUAUAAUUUCUUUCUAAGCAAAUCAUUUUCAUUAAAAAUUGAUUUUUUUUUCCUCAUCUGUAAAACAGUUCUUCCUGAACAGAUCAGAUUACAAUUGUAUUGUGAGACUUGACCCAAGUCCUGCUAAAUGAGACAUUAUUUCUUGUCACGCACACAGCCCUGGCUCAGACCCUUGACAAGAAUACACACCCAACCAGUCGCCAAGUCUGGAAAGCUCAGACGUGUCAGGUCUUUAUCACAUGCUGCACUUGGGCCAGAGCGGUGAUGCUUUUUCUCUCUUCAGUUCACUCCCACAUCACAAACAUCUGUCUGUGAGACAAGAGUUAGUGCUCUGCUGCCUCAAAAUGACUGCAUUUCAUCAAGGCUGCGCAGAAAGCCUGCAAAAGUUUACCGAGCUGCAGGGUGACGAUCCACCAGACUUGGCACGAGCAGAGCAGUCACAGAGCCCUCUCACGCAAUCACGUUCAGGCCACAGAGUUUAUUUACUCAGAAAAUACAGUACAGGUUAACACAGAGAGGGAGAGCUGGCUAAAUAUUUUCAUUCUUCACAUCAACCACCACAGCUGGAGCAGCUCCAGGCUGUCAGUGCCACUGUGCUUGUUAGAUAAGCAGCUGCGUUUCCUCCACUAUGCGUAUGGCUUCUUUCCUUUGAAAUCAACAUUGGCAAGUGCUGUGAAAAAAUACAAGGGGGGUCCUGGAAUUCUAUGUUAAUGCAGUGUACUGAGGCAACUAAUAACAUUAAUUGUGUCCCCACUGAUGCACAAAACAAUGGCUUUACUAUAGUUUAUAUUUGGGGCGGAUAGCAGCUUGGUCUACAAGCUCCUAUGUCCUCAGCUGACUACUUUUUCUUUGUGGAGACAUAGUGCAAAAUGUGUCUGUUUUCAUGUAUAAAUACACAAACAUGCCUAAUUAACCUGAGUGUUCUAUAUCAGGGUUUCUCAAAGUCAGCCCUGGGGGCCCACUGUGGCUUCAGGUUUUUGUUUCAGCCAGAUUCAUAAUCAGUGAAAACAACUGAUAACACCGAUCUCAUUUAAUUAGCUGGUAUUUUUUUCUCUUCUCUUAUAUCUCUCUUCUUAUUACAGCAGAAUGAUGUUUAUGUCUAGAAGACAUUUAGAAACAUUUCUGCUUUUGCUAUAGAUUUAAAUGCUUAACUCUCUUUUCCUGAUUUCAUUUUAUUUUGCCCUUUCUGUGUGCUGUUUGCUCCAUUCAUUGUGUCUUAAUAAUGACAAUUAAAAAACAAGCAGAGCAGACACUCAGGCAAACAACACUGAAUCAUUAAAAGCUGCAACUACUUUAGCGUCAGACCCACUAAUUAGUAAAUAAUGGAUUAAUGGAACAAUUAGAACACCUGGAAAAGCAGAAUGAAAAUCAAGAUGAAAAUAUUGUUAAAAAGAAAAAAAACAUCAUUCCCAUAUAACUGCUUAGCACAUUUUAAUGUAUUCAUUUUUUUUUUACCAAACUUAGUUUUCUAAUCUCUAUAUUGUGUUGUUCCCAAAACAAAGAAUCUGGGAAAUAACAGUUAAUUUAAAUGGCCAAGAAGUCAAAUUAAAAACAGAAGCUGUUUGGAACAAAAAUCUGCAGCCACAGUGGAUCCCCAGGACCAAGUUUAAGAACCCAUGUUCUAUAUUAUACAGAUAUUACAACAAUAAUUUAGAGAUAGGAGAAUGAUACCGAAGCAUCGAAGCUUGUGUCAGUGUAUCCAAGGUGUCCAAUAAAAGGUGUCAUUUUGCUUGACUUUUCACUACAUUCAUAAUGGCUAACACGGUACAACACCCUAGUACUACUCAUCUCCUGAAAAGGACUGGCAUCCCAUCUGGGGUUGUUUCUUGCCUUGCAAACAAUGCUGCCAGAAUAACCAUAUUCAACCACGCACACGGCACCUCUCACCUCUCAUUCGUAUGAAUGCUUUUGACAGACACAGUUCCUGCUCUCUUAACUGUUAUAAAUUUUUACGUUUUCCUUACUUUAAGUUCCCAAUAAAAGAAGACUUGAUAUGUCCAAAUCUUAUUGAAGAAUUUCAUCCCGAAGAGUUAUCAACAGAAGAAAUGAGUACACGGGCAAUCCUAGCACCAAGAAACGAUGAAGUCAAACAAAUUAAUGCAAAAAUUGUCGAUCAAUUACACGACAAAUUAGCUAAAUGUGUAUCGAUAGACUAUACUGAAACAGUUGGUGGUGAUCGUGCGGAUGAUGAAAACAUCAACUUACAAUAUCCCAAAGAAUAUCUACAACUGUUAACACAGUACAGUCUUCCACCGCCCGAAUUACUGUUGAAAGAAGAUGUAUCCAAGAAAGGUACUGUAGUACAUCUCCCGCGGAUAACUUUAGACACUAAAGGAGAUCUUGAUAUGCCAUUCGUAUUAAAAUGUUAACAGUUUCCUGUUAGAAUAGCUUUUGCAAAGACAAUUAACAAAUCACAGAGACAAAUAUUUGAAAAAGUCAGUUUAUUUAUUAGAGAGAAAGAAACAAAAUUCAGUCACGGGCAGUUACAGUAUACAUUGCGUUGUCACGAUGUACUGUAAGUCCAAACAUAGAAUCAAAAUUCAAUGCGAUAUUGAUGAAAAUGUAAUUCAAAGUUUUACAGUAAAAGUGUAAGUUUAAAAAGUAUUUGCAUGUUAAUUUCAAAUCCAAACAGAACAAAAUUGUACAAUGCAAUGAAUAACUCUGAUGCAACAUGAAACACAAUUUACUUUUUACUAUUUUUUAAUAUGGUUAAUUACUCGCUGUAAUGUAAAAUAGUUAGUUCUAUUAUGCAUAUGUAACAAUUCCCAUGAAAAUAACAAUCUGUUGAAAUUGUACAUCCGCAUCCCCAUACACAAGCGGCUGAAUCAUAAAGUGGCUAGCGCGUAGCGCCGGCCCGGAGGUUGGCAAGUGAAGCGAGCAGGGGGCAAAGCCCCCAAGUAAUUUAAAUGUAAUAGUCAGUAUUUUGGUUUGCAGUGUGUACAUUGAUUGACUUUUAUUCUAUAUGUCAUUUGGGUAUAAGCUGAUGAACCAACCAGAGUAAAUGCAUCCUUUAAUAUUUUGACCAUUCUGACCAUGCUGUAAUAGACUGCUUGUGAGAAUGCUCCCUCUUCAUGAAGUGACAAUAAAAGACGUAUAGAAUGGUUGUUCUCCUGCCUGGUUUCUAAUAGUAAGAGGUUCUAAAUUUAAGAUAAGAUUCUAUUAAUAUAUCUAAAUUUAAUUUCUUCCACACUGACUCCUUGCUGUUAACCUUUUUCACUGUGCAGAUUGCGCACUUUGAGUGACAGGGCUUUUAGUGUAUCAGGGCCACAGUUAUGGAAUGCCCUGCCUUUGCACCUUUGUACACGUCCCUCACUUUCUGUUUUUAAAUCUAAACUUAAAACCUACCUUUUUAAUAUAUUGCCUUUUGUUGUUCUCAUUAGUUUGUUUGUUUAUUAGACUUUGAUUUUAUGUAUAUUGUUAUACAGUGUCCUUGGGUACCUUGAAAGUGCUUUUUAAUACAAUUUAUUAUUAUUACUCAUUACUAUUCAUUUGACAAAAUCCUUUAAAACAGUUUACAUUAUUACAGAAAUAUAUGAAGUACUGAUAAAUCAGGUCGUGGGGUGAAACUGAUGUAUUAUACUGUCAGCAUAAAGAAAACGUGAGAAAAGUGAGAAAAGAAAGAUGCUGUACAAAGCAAAAAAGUAUGCAACCCAAAUUUAAUCUGAGUGCCCUGAUUAGACAUCAGAUUAGAAAAAACAGCAGAAAUUUUUAUAAUGGAGAUCACAAUCAGCACAGAUUCUUCUAGAUCAGGUUUACUUUUUUGUUUGUUCUUUUAGCAGUGAACCACGAAAGUGGCCACCUCUUAUCAACAGAAGAGUUUAUAUUAAAUACAGCUGUAGUCUUUCUUGAAAAAAAAGAAAAUGCGAAUAAUGAGAACUGGAGCGGUAACAAUGUGACUUUGGCAGAACUUCUUACAUAAUGGCAAAGGUAUUCAUGUCACUAUGAAUAAAAUGUAUAUCUAUGACGGCCUACAAGGACAUUUUAGUGUUCACAAGAAUGUGCUUUGCAUGCAAAGUCUGCUGCCUUUGAAUACUUGGUGUAGAGCCAGAAAACACACAAUGGAGGAGUCACCUACUCAGAGUAGGGCAAACUAAAUGAGACUAAAGGAAUGAUUCACAAUGAAGGAUUGGCCACUUUGUGUAUUUUAAAAAGAAUUUCUACUUUGCUUGCUUUGUCACUGAUUAUUUCAUUAUUGGUAAAAACGUAACAACAAAUUAAUGAGCAUUUCUUGAGUAUCUUGAUGCUUUAUCUCUGAAACGUAAGUGGCAAUGUGUUAUCAAAGCAAAGAUGCUUUAGGAAGGGCACUAUAAUGCCCUGUGCCAGUUUUCAUGACAGUGGUUAUUAUGGCUGGGGCACCCACAUGCAGCCCAUGAAUUAAUUAUGCUGAUAUUUACGUAAAUUCCAUCUCACUGUAGCUCAGAUUUGAUAUUUUUUUCUGCUCAGGUUCUCAAUAUUUUUCAUGCUCUUGAGUAAUCUUGCUACUCAAGUUUUAUACUUUACAUUACUUUCUAGCAUGAUUUGUCGACUGUGUUUCAUGUGUCUGUGUUAAAGCCGUGGCACCUGAUUGUUGAGUAUGAGCAAGGCAUUUCUGAGAGAAAACGCAAGACUUAUGAUGUUCCAAAAGAGUAUUCAAGGGUAAAGGACACAUUUGGUACGGCGCCACAGGUGUGGUUUUAGGGGAGCAAAGCGGUCAGAGAAUUGUACCUUAAGGACGGUCAGCAAUUUGUUGCUGUUGGUAGGUUUAAGUCUGACCCAUCUUACUUGUUCCAGAGAUGUCCCUCAGGGAUCAGUCCUUGGCCCUCUUUAUCAUGUAUAUGCUUCUUCUUGGUGUCAUUAUUAGACUGCAUGGCCUACACUUUCACUGUUAUGCUAAGGAUACACAGAUUUAUUUACAGACUGGGCUUAUGUAAUCAUUACCUCCUCCUGCAUUGGUUGCAUGUUUGGCUAACAUCAAACGUUGAUUGUCUGAAAACUUUCUCAGACUAAAUACUGAUAAAACUGAUGCUUUCAUUCUUGCAUCUCCAGGCACUUUAAAGAAAAUAGACAAUUCCUCAGUAAAAAUCCCUAGCUUUAUUUCAUCCUUCUCUGCAUAGGUUAAAAACCUUGGUGUUAUUCUUACAAAUAAACUUGAUCCAUUAGGAUUAAAAGUCAAUACAGAGGUAAAGAAUUUGGGGGUAACUAUUGACUCUGACCUACAUUUUAAAUCACAUAUUAAUUAGAUUUCUAGGACAGCAUUUUUUCACUUAAGAAAUAUAGCAAUAUUUAGACCUCCUAUAACAUUGCAAGAUGCUGAGAAAUUAAUUUACACGUUUGUAUUCAGUCUUCUAGAUUACUAUAACGCACUCCUCUCACGACCACCCGAAAAAGACAUCAAUCGAUUGCAACUAGUGCAGAAAUGUAGCUGCUAGAAUCUUAACUAGCCAGCCAGCCAUUAUCCAACCCACUAUAUCCUAACACAGGAUCACGGGGGUCUGCAGGAGCCAAUCCCAGCCAACACAGGGUGUAAGACAGGAACAAAUCCCGGGCAGGGCGCCAGCCCACCGCAGAGAAUCUUAACUAAGAAAAGAAAAUCUGAGCACAUCUCCCCAGUUUUGAUGUCACUACAUUGGUUACCUGUGCCAUUUAUAGUUGACUAUAAAAUACUGCUUAUAGUUUACAAAGCCUUAAAUAAUCUCUCUCCAUGCUAUAUCUUGGAAUGCCUUUUACCUUACACUCCAAAUCGUAACCUUAGAUCUUUAAAUGAGGGUCUGCUUGUAAUUCCAAGAGCUAAACUUGAAAGAAGUGGUGAGGCGGCCUUCUGCUAUUACGCACCUAAAAUCUGGAACAGCCUACCAAUAGAAAUUCGCCAGGCUAAUACAGUGGAGCAUGUUAAAAAACAGCUAAAACCACAUUACUUUAACAUGACUUUCUUAUAGCUUCAUUUUAGUUUAAUCCUGAUACUCUGUAUAUGCAUUUAAUUAUCAUUAUCAUCCAUGGUGGUUCUGAAAUCCAUACUAACCCCUACUUUCUCUGUUGUUGCUUUUCCGGUUUUCUGUGGUGGCAAUCUGCACACCACCCAAUCAAAGCACCGUGAUGUCCCUACAUUGAUGGAUUAAAGGCCAGAAGUCCACAUGACCAUCAUCAUCAAUUUCUUCCAUGUGAACCCUGAAUACCAAGAGGACUGAUUGAAGUCAUUUAUGUAAGAGAAAUCCUGAAUUGGAGCCUGGUGAGUGGUGCUCCUGGGGCGGACCAGAUGACUCCCGCUGAACAGCAGAAAGCAGGAGUAAUUGGAGCUCCUAAGGAUCCUGCAGAUGCCAUAGUAGAAGAAUGGAUGACUGAGUCGGGCCUGGCACAUCCCAGUAGAUGCUGAUAGAAAAGGAAAGCCAGGCUGCCUAACUGCCAAGCCUUACCUUAACAUAUGGUUGUUGGGGGCAGGUGUGAAGAUGUUCUGUCCCCCUAUUGGUCUGAAGUAUGGCUGUUUGGAACUGGCUUGUAUCAAAAGCCUUUAAGUACCAUGACACCCUAUUGGCUGUAGGGGUUGGACAGAAAAUGUAUAAAUUUGCUCACUCCCUCACUCUCUCUCUCUUACCAAAUGAUGAUGAAGCAUCUUACACACCAUGAACUGAAAAGGACAACACAAUGAAGAGCACAGCUCGGCAGCCAUAUUGAGACAGGCAUGCAGCCUGUACUGAAGAAAGUUGACCACAAAUGAUGCUUUAACUAGAGACAUUUUUAAGUAACUAACAAGUCUUUGUGCCGCCUGAACUAAACAUCACCAUGUACUUUGCAUAUUGUUUUUAUUUACAAAUAUUACCAAUAAUACAUUGUUUAAAUUGUAA